rnacentral:rRNA from 1 species
AUUGAACGCUGGCGGCAGGCCUAACACAUGCAAGUCGAACGAGUGGCGGACGGGUGCGUAAUGUCUGGGAAACUGCCUGAUGGAGGGGGAUAACUACUGGAAACGGUAGCUAAUACCGCAUACCAUCGGAUGUGCCCAGAUGGGCUUAGGUAGUAGGGGUGGUAAAGGCGCACCUAGACGACGAUCCCUAGCUGGUCUGAGAGGAUGACCAGCCACACUGGAACUGAGACACGGUCCAGACUCCUCCGGGAGGCAGCAGUGGGGAAUAGUGCACAAUGGGCGCAAGCCUGAUGCAGCCAUGCCGCGUGUAUGAAGAAGGCCUUCGGGUUGUAAAGUACUUUCAGCGGGGAGGCGUUACCCGCAGAAGAAGCACCGGCUAACUCCGUGCCAGCAGCCGCGGUAAUAC